rnacentral:pre_miRNA from 1 species
AUUGUAGAUUCUAAUUCAAAGCUCAUUGAUGUCAAUGGGAGUCCUUCCAUUGACUUCAAUGGGGUUUGGAUCAGGCUCAUCAU